CCUCUGACUGACUGACUUCUACACCGUUUAAUUGCCUGAGGGUUAUACACACAGGCACGAAUUAUAAUGUUCCUUUAAUUUCAGGCAACAUUGAUUCAAUUAAUAUUUACAACAAACUGUUUCUUCGAUCCUAGGCAGCACUGGGAAAUAAUACAUGGUCCCCAGUCCCCACUCCUUAUGACCCUCACCCCACCUCCAGGGAAAGCUGAAACAGCCCUCCUUAUCUCUCGUGAUUUGUUCAAUAAUCACAUGCCCUAUUUGAGCAACAGGCAGAGAAUGACAAAGAUUCUGACACAAAUUAGACUUCUUCAGAUAGAUCUGACUCCAAUUCAAACAGCUUUUUGACCUUGACUUAUUUCCUGUGGGUUUAACAAAAGCGCAUCUUCUCCCCUCCCCACCCAAGCCAGAAGGGACUCUGCUCACCCACAGGAGGCCCACUUUGUUUUUGUUUUUGUUUUUUUUUUUGAGGGGGAGUCUGGCUCUGUCACCCAGGCUGGAGUACAGUGGCACAAUCUCGGCUCACUGCAACCUCCACCUCCUGGGUUCAAGCAAUUCUCCUGCCUCAGCCUCCCGAGUAGUUGGGAUUACAGGCACCCACCACCACACCUGGCUAAUUUUUUGUAUUUUUAGUAGAGAUGGGGUUUCACCACGUUGGCCAGGCUGGUCUUGAACUCCUGACCUCAAGUGAUCUGCCCACGUCGGCCUCCCAAAGUGCAGGGAAUACAGGUGUGAGCCCCUGCACUGGGCCAGGAGGCCUACUUUUUAAUUCUACUGUUUCUCCUUUCCCUGCUUCCCAGGGACCCUUCCAGAGACUGAGUUGGAGCAGGUGGUUUUGCUUUGCGUUCUGACCAGGAAGUGAAACCUGGGUGUGAGCAAUGUUUUGCAUUAUGGGGCCAUUUCACCUUUUCCUCCCUGCCUCGGGAAGGAAGGCUUGCAGUGUCCAAACUGGGUCUGACCUCUCAGGGGACAUUUCUCAAAGCAGUGGGAACAAGAGUCCCUCAGUGCUGGAUGGCUGGGGAAUGGGUGGCCGAGGAGUGAAGCUCUAUUCUGGGCAGAGCACUCCCCCUUGCUGAAAGGGCUGGAAAACGCUUUUGUCCCUGCUGGAAGUGGAGUAGCGUGGGAUACAGGGCAGGGGGUCGCUGCUGAGUUUAUCAGGGGAGCAGAGAUUAGGCACUACUUGGUUAAAAUACUAACUGCUGGGCUGGGUGCAGUGGUUCACGCCUGUAAUCCCAGCACUUUGGGAGGCCGAGGUGGGCGGAUCACCUGAGGUCAGGAGUUCAAGACCAGCCCAGCCAACAUGACGAAACCCUGCCUCUACUAAAAAUACAAAAAUUAGCCAGACAUGGUGGCAUAGGUGUGUAAUCCCAGCUACUUGGGAGGCUGAGGCAGGAGAAUUGCUUGAACCCAGGAGGCAGAGAUUGUUGAGUUAAGAUCACGCCCCUGAUCUUGCCUGGGCGACAGAGCAAGACUGUCUAAAGAAAAAAGUAAUAGUAACUGCUGAAAGUGACAGAGACGUAAUCCAUAUGUGCAACCGCCAGAUGGCCACAUUCUGUGUUCUGAGCCAGGUUCCGCCGAACGACCGCCCUAGAUGAUGAUUUCGCACCCUGCCCAGCUCCAAGACCAAAACCUCAGUGUUUUGAGAAUUCAAUUUCCUACUCAUUGAUUUAGAUAACAUACAUGAACUUGAAUUCAUUAGAAAUAUGCCUUUGUGUCUUCAUGAUCACCAUCUUUGUGGUUUUCAAGAUGAUUGUUAGAUCCUUAUCAAAAUAUAAACAAUUGGCAAUGGUUCCAAUUGUGUCAACAAAAGCCAACUUCAAACCUGUAAUCCUCAUGCUGAGUGGAGAGGCUGGUGCCCCACCCGGGCUGUGACAUGGUGGCUUGGGAGAUGUGUGACUCAGAUAUGUCAGACCAUGAGUGAGGCACCCAACCUUCCCUCCCAGUGACCUUUGAAGUAAGGCGAAUUGAAGUCCGCUGGUCUCCAGACAGGCACGGUAACGUGCACGCAUCGGAUGUGGUUCCCGGGGAAUGGUGGGUGAUUGUCCAUCUUCCUAACAGUCCUCAAAUGAGGACUCAGUUCCAGCUCUUAACGCAGCACAACAGAGUUCUUAAUAGUAAAAGUCGUACUUUUCACUCACCGUGAAAAGCAAGUCUGCACAUUGCUAGAUAUGUCCCAGUAUUAUUAUCCAAGCUCCAGAAACGUACUCAGCCACAAAAGUAAAAAUUCUCCUACUCCACGUGGAAGUGGCUCCGUGAGAAAAAUUCCCUAUCAAGCCAGAAACGCACCUACAGAGGGAGAGAACGACAUGAGAGGGGACCGGAGUUCUCAGGGAGGAGGGAAGCCUGGCUCCGCAUCCCAGAGCUGCCAGGGACCCGGAGCAGAAGGAGGAGGCGGGGAGGACAGGGGCGCCGACGGAGACAGGCGAUCCCUCGGAAAAUCCUAAAAGCCAGUGAAGCGUGGGCUCUGGACGGAAACAGAAGGUCAGGGCCGUGGUUCACGCCGUGGGAAACCGCAGCCAGUGAUAAGCUGGGAAGCCACAGGGGCUGGCAGCUGCAGUCGGAACGAAGCGGCUGGAAGCUCCAAACGGGAGCUCUUCCCAGCUCGCUUUCCACUUCGACGGCACCGUUCAAAGCUCUGCUCAGACACUGGGACAAAUAAAUGACAGGGCUCCGAAAAGAGGGUGAAGCUCCUCCGCGCCCGGCUUUUCCCUCCGCAGAGCCUGGGCUCCCCGCCUCGCGCCGCCCCUGACCGUGGCAGGCUCGGUUCCCUCCUCGCUCUGCAUCCUUUGAUUCACGUACGGCCCCGUUUCCA
rnacentral:lncRNA from 1 species